GAGUUUGAUCCUGGCUCAGAACGAUUUGCUGGCGGCAGGCUUAAUACAUGCAAGUCGAACGGUUGUAGCAAUACAGCAGUGGCAGACGGGUGAGUAACACGUGGGAACCUACCUAGGGGUACGGAAUAACUCAGGGAAACUUGUGCUAAUACCGUAUACGACCUUCGGGUGAAAGAUUUAUCGCCCCUAGAUGGGCCCGCGUUGGAUUAGCUAGUUGGUGAGGUAAAAGCUCACCAAGGCGACGAUCCGUAGCUGGUCUGAGAGGAUGAUCAGCCACACUGGGACUGAGACACGGCCCAGACUCCUACGGGAGGCAGCAGUAGGGAAUCUUGGACAAUGGGCGAAAGCCUGAUCCAGCCAUGCCGCGUGAGUGAUGAAGGCCUUAGGGUUGUAAAGCUCUUUCGCCAGGGAAGAUAAUGACUGUACCUGGAUAAGAAGCACCGGCUAACCCUGUGC
rnacentral:rRNA from 1 species